ensembl:lncRNA LINC02607 long intergenic non-protein coding RNA 2607
AGAGUUGCUGCCAUAUGGUUCCCAUAAAGGUUCUGCCAAAAUUCCCGUGGUUCUCACAAGAGCUCCUACCUCCUCUGUUCUUUUAAUCUCCUGCUGCGGGUGGCAGACAUGGGAGAGACAGGCAAGCUGCAAAGGGAAGUCGACGAAAUAAAAUUAAAGCCCUACAAUCGUGUUCGUGUCAAUGUAGAUGGGGUGCCCCCCUCGGUUUGCUCACAGAGGUGGGUGUGAGAUCCUACAGGACGGUCUGGAAGACAUCCCAUGGAAGGCACUUUAUUUUGCCCAGAAGCUGGAGGAAAAGCAGAAGGGCGCUGAACACUGACUAAGAGGAGAGAGCGCACAUUACAUGGAGACCAUGGUCCCCAUACCAGAAACAUGAGAGUAGAGAGAAGCAAAGCCAGCAUCGUGGAGCCAGUCCCUUUAUCCAGGAUCUUGGAGGGAUACAGUCUUCUGUAGAAAUUAAAUAAAGACUGAAUUCUUCAAUGGGUAUUUUGAGAAGAGAGCCACUGUAAGCUUAUACACUGUGAAUUGCAAAAUGUUACUGCCUCUGGGUGGACAGGUUUUAAAAAGACUUUUUUUUUUCCUCCUGGCAUGGCUGACAGAGGGAAGGCUGGGUUUCAAUCCCAUCUUUCCCUUCCCUUGCCCAGUGCUUCUUUAUGUGCACAACCUGCACAACUAUAUGUGGUUUGCAAACACGCAUAAGCAAAGACUAACAGCUUCUGAAACAAACUCUGAAUAAAAGAGGGAGCAUAUUAAGGCAGAUGGCAGAGGAGGUGAGCAGCAUGGGCAGAUAGAAGCAUCACAGAGACUACAAGAAGAAUGUGCCAGACCGGCUCAUAGUGGCCACACUGAUUAAGAAUUACCAUCAGCUCUUUAGGAUUUGGAAACUUGGAAACACAUUGUGUGUUCUUCCUGGUUUGUUAUAGAGUAUGUGUAUGUACUUCUUUCUCUUAAAAAUAUUUAUUUUUAAAGAAUUGACUUAUAAAAUUAUAUGUAUUUGUCAUGUAUAACACAAUAUUUUGAAGUACAGUCCUGUGUCAUAAGGAUAUGUUCUGAGAAAUCCAUCAAUUUUGUCAUUGUAUAAACAUGAUAGAGUGUAUUUACACAAACCUAGGUGGUAUAAACUACUACACACCUAGGCUACAUAAUGUAGCCUAUUGCUCCUAGGCUAUAAACCUGUAUAACAUGCUACUGUACUAAAUACUAUAGACAAUAGUCACAUACUGGUGAGUAUUUGCGUAUCAAAACAUAUCUAAAUAUAGAAAAGAUGCAGUAAAAAUAUGGUAUUACAAUCUUAUGAGACCACUAUAGUAUAUGAGGUCCAUCAUUGAUUAAAACAUAGUUAUAUGGUGCAUGACUGUAUAUAUGCAUUGUGGAAUGGUUAAAUCUAGCUAACUAACAAAUGUGUUAUAUCACAUAGUUAUUAUUUUUGAGGUGAGAAUACAAUAUUCACUCUCUUAGCAUUUUUUAAGAAUACAGUAUAUUAACUAUAGUCACCAUGCUGAAUGGUAGAUCUCUGGAACUAAUUUCUCCUAUCUAAGUGUGAUUAUGUACCCUUUGACCAACAUCUUUCUAACCCCACCCCACAAACACCCCAUAAUAAAGCCUCUUGUAACCACCAUUUUACUCCUUUUUCUAUGAGAAUGGCCUUCUUUGUCUCUCCUUUUGUCUGUCCUUACAGUUUUUUACUUAAUGUCUAUUUUGCCUGAUAUUAAUACAAGUAUACUUCCUCCUG